rnacentral:rRNA from 1 species
GACGAACGCUGGCGGCGUGCUUAACACAUGCAAGUCGAACGGAAAGGCCCUGCUUUUGUGGGGUGCUCGAGUGGCGAACGGGUGAGUAACACGUGAGUAACCUGCCCUUGACUUUGGGAUAACUUCAGGAAACUGGGGCUAAUACCGGAUAGGAGCUCCUGCUGCAUGGUGGGGGUUGGAAAGUUUCGGCGGUUGGGGAUGGACUCGCGGCUUAUCAGCUUGUUGGUGGGGUAGUGGCUUACCAAGGCCUUGACGGGUAGCCGGCCUGAGAGGGUGACCGGCCACAUUGGGCCUGAGAUACGGCCCAGACUCCUACGGGAGGCAGCAGUGGGGAGUAUUGCACAGUGGGCGGGAGCCUGAUGCGGCAACGCCGCGUGCGGGAUGACGGCCUUCGGGUUGUAAACCGCUUUCGCCUGUGACGAAGCGUGAGUGACGGUAAUGGGUAAAGAAGCACCGGCUAACUACGUG